CGGAGAGUUUGAUCCUGGCUCAGGAUGAACGCUGGCGGCGUGCCUAAUACAUGCAAGUCGAACGCUUUGUGGUUCAACUGAUUUGAAGAGCUUGCUCAGAUAUGACGAUGGACAUUGCAAAGAGUGGCGAACGGGUGAGUAACACGUGGGAAACCUACCUCUUAGCAGGGGAUAACAUUUGGAAACAGAUGCUAAUACCGUAUAACAAUAGCAACCGCAUGGUUGCUACUUAAAAGAUGGUUCUGCUAUCACUAAGAGAUGGUCCCGCGGUGCAUUAGUUAGUUGGUGAGGUAAUGGCUCACCAAGACGAUGAUGCAUAGCCGAGUUGAGAGACUGAUCGGCCACAAUGGGACUGAGACACGGCCCAUACUCCUACGGGAGGCAGCAGUAGGGAAUCUUCCACAAUGGGCGAAAGCCUGAUGGAGCAACGCCGCGUGUGUGAUGAAGGGUUUCGGCUCGUAAAACACUGUUGUAAGAGAAGAAUGACAUUGAGAGUAACUGUUCAAUGUGUGACGGUAUCUUACCAGAAAGGAACGGCUAAAUACGUGCCAGCAGCCGCGGUAAUACGUAUGUUCCAAGCGUUAUCCGGAUUUAUUGGGCGUAAAGCGAGCGCAGACGGUUAUUUAAGCCUGAAGUGAAAGCCCUCAGCUCAACUGAGGAAUUGCUUUGGAAACUGGAUGACUUGAGUGCAGUAGAGGAAAGUGGAACUCCAUGUGUAGCGGUGAAAUGCGUAGAUAUAUGGAAGAACACCAGUGGCGAAGGCGGCUUUCUGGACUGUAACUGACGUUGAGGCUCGAAAGUGUGGGUAGCAAACAGGAUUAGAUACCCUGGUAGUCCACACCGUAAACGAUGAGUGCU
rnacentral:rRNA from 1 species